rnacentral:rRNA from 1 species
UACAGAGGGUGCAAGCGUUGUUCGGAAUUAUUGGGCGUAAAGGGCGCGUAGGCGGUUCGGCAAGUCUCUAGUGAAAUCUCAGGGCUCAACUCUGAGUCUGCUGGGGAAACUGCCGGGCUUGAGUGUGGGAGAGGAGAGUGGAAUUCCCGGUGUAGCGGUGAAAUGCGUAGAUAUCAGGAGGAACACCGAUGGCGAAGGCAGGUCUCUGGGCAUUAACUGACGCUGGAGGAGCGAAAGCAUGGGGAGCGAACAGG